CCUACGGGCGGCAGCAGUGAGGAAUAUUGGUCAAUGGACGAGAGUCUGAACCAGCCAAGUAGCGUGAAGGAUGACUGCCCUAUGGGUUGUAAACUUCUUUUAUCUGGGAAUAAAACGUUCCACGUGUGGGAUUUUGUAUGUACCAUAUGAAUAAGGAUCGGCUAACUCCGUGCCAGCAGCCGCGGUAAUACGGAGGAUUCGAGCGUUAUCCGGAUUUAUUGGGUUUAAAGGGAGCGUAGGUGGGUUGUUAAGUCAGUUGUGAAAGUUUGCGGCUCAACCGUAAAAUUGCAGUUGAAACUGGCAGUCUUGAGUACAGUAGAGGUAGGCGGAAUGCGUGGUGUAGCGGUGAAAUGCUUAGAUAUCACGAAGAACUCCGAUUGCGAAGGCAGUUCACUGGACUGCAACUGACACUGAGGCUCGAAAGUGUGGGUAUCAAACAGGAUUAGAUACCCCGGUAGUC
rnacentral:rRNA from 1 species